UUCAGGAUGUGCAUCGUGGUUGAUGUAGUUAAAAAUUCUCUCAUCACCGGGUGCACAUUCGGUCA
rfam:Brugia malayi, FR3, WGS project CAPY01000000 data, contig: ctg1511518m